rnacentral:misc_RNA from 1 species
UACUGGCAGGAUCAACCAGGCGACGGUGAAGAACAAGUAUCCUCUUCUCCGGAUUGAUGAGCUCUUCGAUCAGCUUCAAGGUGCUCAGUAUUUCUCGAAGGUGGAUUUGAGGUCAGGAUAUCAUCAACUAUGAGUUAGAGAGCAGGAUGUGUAGAAGACAGCAUUCCGUACUCGCUACAGGCACUAUGAGUUCCUUUUGAUGCUGCUCGGGUUGACGAAUGCACCAGCAGUAUUCAUGGCAUUAAUGAACUAGAUCUUUGCCUCAUACCUCAAUAGCUUCACAGUGGUGUUCAUCGACGAUGUUUUGGUUUACUCCAAGUCUAAAGAGGAGCAUGAGUAGCGUUUGAGGACAUCUCUGCAGUUGUUGCGCAACAACCAGUUGUAUGCAAAGCUCAGCA